rnacentral:lncRNA from 1 species
GACUAAUCCAUUCCAUAAGACUCGGUGUCAGACUCCUCAGACUCGUUUAUUAAACGAGCCGAACACGAGCUAGUUAAUUAAAAGCUAAAAAAUCCAGCUUGUGUUCGACUUGUUUAUUAACGAGCCAAACACGAGUUGGUUUGUGAACGGCAAGUUAGAUCGUCCGCCCUACUUGCGGUAAUUUGCAGAGUAAUUCGAGUCGUAAAUUAUAAUGAAUUAAAAUUUGAGUAUUAUAGUGUCACGUGUUUAGGGGCGUCAAUGAGUUGAACACGAGCGAGCUAGGGCCGGCUCUUGUUCGGCUCGGUUAAUAAACGAGCUGGACACGAGCUGGCUUAUGAGUUGACCAAUAAAUAAUAAGUUAAAAGGAUUAAAUUGAAUAUAUAUAAAAAAUAAAUAUAAAAUCAUCCAUUAAAUUUUGAUCUAAUAGUUGAAACUUUACAUAUAAAUUAGUCUUUUUAUAAUUGAGCUAGCCUUUAUAUUUUUAUUUUGCUAAAAAUCAAAUAAUAAAAAUAUAAAUUAUAUAUAAUUAUUUAUUUAUAUAUAUAAAUAUAAAUUAAAUACGUUAUAUAAAUAUAAAAUACAUGUAUUCGAGCUGUUAUCGAGCCGAACACGAGCGAGCUGACCCUAACUCGUGUUCGGUUCGUUUAUUAAACAAAUUAAAAAAUUUAGCUCGUGUUGGGCUGGUUUACUAAGCGAGCGAUUCGAUCUCGAGCUUACUCGCGAACAGCGAGCUGGAUUG